AUUAAUUUUUUUUAUUAGUUGGUAUUGCAUAUCAUUUAAAGAAAAUUUUAUAUUUAAUAAAAAAUAGAAUUAAAAGGUAGAAAAUGUAUUUUUUUUAUUGUUUCAUAAUAAAAAUUAUAUUUUUUAGGGUUGAAAAGUCGACUUUUAAGAUUUCUGUGUAAUGUUUUAAAAUUAGAAAUUUAUUAUUUAAAGAUUAUUUUAAUUAUAAACAGUAAAAGUUGAAGUAUUUAUUAUUUUAGUUUUAUAACAGUUUAUAGAUUUUGUAGUUGCAAUUGGUUGUUUUAGUAAUAAUUUUAUAUUAUUUUUAUUAUUUUAAAAUUAGUAAAUGUUUAAAAAUAUUAUUUAAUGUAUUUAAUAUAAUAAAAAAACUAAAUAGUUAAUCAAAUGUUUUUUAAAGACUUAGAUUUUCAGGUAAAGUUUGCUUCUGCCCAGUGAUUAUUUUUAAAUGGCAGUCUUAGCGUGAGGACAUUAAGGUAGCAAAAUAAUUUGUGCUUUUAUUGGGUUCCAGUAUGAAUGAAGUUAUUGGUUAAUUUAUUUUUUAGUUUUUUUAUUGAAUUUUUUUUCAAUAAUAAAAAGUUAUUGUCGUAACAAAACAAAGAUAAGUCUUCGGAAAUUUUAUUUUUAGAAUAACAAUGGUUGUUUUAAAAAGUUUUCUAGGGCAGAAUUUUAUAUAAUAAUUUAAAUCUAUUAAUAAUUUUUAAAAUUACUCCGGAGUUAACAGAAAAUCAUACCUAAUCUAGUUCUUAUAGUAAGGUAAGUUUACAUCGAUGUUGUAUUUAAGUUUAUUAAAAAAGGAGAAAUUUUAAUUUUUAAGACUGUUCUUCUUUUAAUUAACUUAACGUGAUAUUAGUUUAAUUCAUUGUGAGAUAGAAUUGUUUAUCUUGUUUGUUACUGGGUUAUAGUUUUAACAGUAGGAAAGGAAAAUUAAAAAAAGUUUUAAACUUUUAAAGAGUUAAUUCUCA
rnacentral:rRNA from 1 species